rnacentral:lncRNA from 1 species
UCUAUGUCCCUAACCAUUUCUCCCGGAUUCCAGAGCAGUGCUGCAAACUCUGCAGAAGAAGGAAAAAAUCCAAAAUCAUCCGGAGGCUCUGGUCAAAAGCAUUGGUCAGAUCGUGAAAAGAGAUUGCCAGUUGAAUAUAAAACAUGUCUAUAGAGAAGCCAAUAGAAGUGCAGAUUGGCUUGCUAAGAACAACCUAGAAGCUUUUCCAAAAUUUCACUUCAUUGACUUUCCCCCACCUGAGUUAAGGUACAUUAUUGAUGAUGAUAGUAGAGGGGUUUUAUUACCCCGUAUAGUCUCUAGUUUAAAGUUUUAGUUUUUGUUUUCUUGGGCUCUAAACCCCCUUGUAAACAAAUAAAAAAAAUCAUUUCUCUCGAAUUCGAUACUCACUGAAAAAUGAAAAUAAAGCUUACUUGCAGAUAAAAUAUUUACAAAAUAAAUUAAAACACAUACAUAAACCUUAUGAAGCUUCGCUGCAUGCUUGGCAUAGUCACCAACAAUAUAGGUAAAGUAUUGAAUAACAUCCAAGAACAAAGAAUAAAGUCUUGUGUACCCCUCUUGGCCCAGUCCGCUACUCCAUAUUUCUUCAUAUCGAUUAUUUGAUUUGAAACAAGGUGUAGCGGAAGCCUUCGAGGGGUGCAGAAGCCAAUUUCUUGUUGAAUCUUCGAAGCCUCUAGUGCAACCAUUUAUAUAUAGUAAUUUUCUUAAUUAUCAUGCUAUGCCCUAGUGAAACCUAUGGUUCUUCAAUGACCUUAUAUAGAGGAAGGGGGAUAAUACAGACAAAAGAAUAGUGGGUAUGUUCCCUGCACUCUAAAACGGAUCCAAUUCCACAUCAAGCACCACAAAAGUUUUU